GACGAACCGAGCGAACGUUGUUCGGAAUCACUGGGCUUAAAGGGCGCGUAGGCGGCUUGCCAAGUCGGGGGUGAAAUACUUCAGCUUAACUGGAGAAGUGCCUUCGAUACUGGCAGGCUUGAGGGAGGUAGGGGUCUGUGGAACUUCUGGUGGAGCGGUGAAAUGCGUUGAUAUCAGAAGGAACGCCGGUGGCGAAAGCGACGGACUGGACCUCUUCUGACGCUGAGGCGCGAAAGCUAGGGGAGCAAACGGG
rnacentral:rRNA from 1 species